AUUCUUCCUCAAAGACCUUUCACACAUGGACCGCAAAUACACUACCCGGACACUCUACUUUGAGGGUAGUGUAUCGCGGUCCAUGGGUGAAAGGUCUUUGAGGAAGAAUUCAAAGUUUCGGUCGUAAGACGAGUUCAUGAUAGUAGACUUGCGCAAAUCAUUUGAAAGAAACAAUGGGUGAAACAUGCCGUCGUUGACACAUUGUUUUUUUUGAAACUUGCAAACUUCCCAUGGAUUUGGAUUCAUUUUGCUUCGCCUUGUUUUCCCGAAAAAACUGCAAAACAUAUUUAAAAAUAAAAAAUAAAAAUAAAAAAUAAUAAAAACAAAAAUAAAUUACAUAGACCAAAUUCAUAAUCACAAUACAAUUUUAAUUUCUUUAAAAAUAUUAUAAUACACAAAUAAGAAGUAGAGAUUAUGUUUUUAGGAAUUACGAUGCUUUGUAUAUCCAAAAAUUUCAGAUCGAGUACAAAAUUUCUGAUAUGCUAUGUAUUUUGAUACAGUUUAGAAACAACAACAAACAAAAAACUAAAUCCUUUCAGAUACACAACUCAUAUACGCUCCUAAAUAUUUCUAAUAAACAAUGUGUAUUUAUAUUUAUUAUCUAAAUCAUUGAAUAAAACAAGGAUAUUAUGAAGAUAUGUACACAGAGGAAUCUGAAAUUAACUGACACAAAAAGACAAUGUCUGACAAACACUGUAUAUGUACAAUUGACGAUUGCACCCCUAUAUAUCUGCCAAAGAGUAAUUUUAGGAUAUAGCUGAAUUGUGUGAGAUGACAUGAAUAAGAUCUUUUGGUUUGAUUUUUUUAGGAAAAUCCAAUAUAAUUUAAAUUUAAAUUAUUUUUUGUCUCAGAAUUUCCAAUGGCCACCUUCUUUGGCGGUUAUAUCAAAAACUCGAAUUAUUGUUGUUUGGAGAAUCAGAGAGAUUGAAUUUUUUUGUUUAAAAGCAAGCUUAUUGUUUCUGGAAAAUCUAAUCAUCGCCUCUUUUGAAGUCUAAAACGGUGAAGGUAAUUGUCUUAAAUUUCAGACCUAGCGUUUUUCAUUUUAUAUGUUCUCGAUUGGUUCGGAGUUUAAACACUACUUGGUUUAUGUGAUUUUUUUUUAGAUGUAAUAGUUUAUGGUUCUUGGAAGAUUUUCUCUACUCGAUAAGGCUAGUGUUAACUUGAUCACGAUUUAUAAUUUUUUUUCUCUGGUCGAUAAGGCUAGUGUUAACUUGAUCACGAUUGAAAGAUUUAAAUGCGAAAAGGUCGGUGAGUUAUAAAAAGCAUUAUAACAGACUUAGUGAGCAACGUUUUAGUAAUCAUGUUAAUAGAAUUUAUACACGCUAACAUUGAGACUUUAAAUGUUAUGUUUUUUUGUUACCAUCUCUCUACUCACUAUUAUCAUUAUUAGCCUAGUAUUAUAUCAACAUUAAGUCAUGCUAUACUCCUGUUAAUAUAAUUCAUGUUUCGCUAGCGAUAUAACCCUGAUACCAUGUUAUCUUCUAACUUUCCCAUUACGUGUAUUACUUGAUUAUUCAGCCGCAAGUCAAAGUUUGUUUUAUCACGCUAAAUAUUUUUUUACCAGUUAUUACUAAUGUUAUCGUCUUCACAUAUAUAAUCCAACCCUUGAAAUCUAAUCGUUGGUUCGAUAACAAAAUAUGUUUAUCUGGUUAAUUAUAUUAUUAACAUGUUAAAUAGGUGCUUACCUAAGUUUUUACAUCAAUUUAUCAAACUACCCGCCAUGUUUCACUAACAAUAUUACCCUGAUAAUACGUUAUCUGCUAACUAUCAUGAUGUAUGUAUUAUUCUCUAUAUGAUUAUUCGGCCGCAAGUCAACGUUUGCUCAUCACGCUAACAUAAUAAGUCAGUGUUGGUUUGAUAACCCAAAAUAUGUUCAUCACAUUAAGUGUAUUAUUAAUAUGAAAUCUUUACUCUAAUCUUCGACUAUCGUUUAUUGUUAGCUCCACUUGCAUUGUCGCUGCUAACAUUGGUGUUACAUAGUAACAUUCUUGUUAACACGCUAUAUCAUAAAACCUUUAUUUCCGUGCUAUUCCAGUAGUUAUCUGAAAUGACCGCCUAAUUCAUACUCCUAACAUUGAUAUUGCAUCCCAAAACAAAUCCUCUGUAGUUAAUAAUUUAUUUUUUCUCAGAAUCUUUAUCUUCCCACGUGCUACACCACUAACUAUCUUCGUGUUUUGUAGGGGCAGUUUCGUCUUAAUUAUUGUAGGAGAGGAGAGGGAACAAAAUAUCUAAUGAAGAAUGCUACAUACUUAAUUUUUCGUUCUUCUGUGUAUUUAUAUUUAAUUCACCCAUAAAACAAAAAUAUAUGAUUAAUCGCACUUACCAAUGUAGGAGAUUAUGUUUGAGAGUUUUCUUCGGAACUUGUAAUAUGGUGGAUGAAAGAUGAGGUGAUACAUUGAUAUAUAUAGAGAAAAAUUAGGGUUUUUCUUUUCAUUACAUUUUUCCACAAUUAAGCUAAUAUAAAAACAUCUUGGACCACUCUAGUCAAUGUAAAAAAGUUUUUUUUUUUUUUUUUUUGUUAAAACAGUCAAUUUAAUAAAGUUUAAGAUAGAAUUUCAUUAACUUUGACAUUGUUUUAUUUAUUAAUAAGUAAAAUAAUGUAUCUAUAUAUAACACAAGAAUAGUAAAAAAACAAUUUAUGUUGACCAUAAAAAAGGGAAAAAUUUAGUAAUUAAACAAAAAGGUAUGAAAUCUAAUAAUUAGAUACCUAGUCUAAUAUGAAAAAGAUUUGGACAACUCUAGUCAAUGCUAAUCUAUAUUAUUAAUUGGGAAUCACUACAUAUUAAACAACCUUAUAAAGGGUAAAAUAUUACAAAAGAUGCCAUUGAUUUUUAGUGUUUUUAAAUAAUUUCAUUAAGGGUACAAUAGUAAUCACAAAAUUAAUAUAUUUAAAUACAAAAUAGUUAAAUUCUUUAAAAUAAUUAUUAAUUUCCAAAAAAAUAAACUAAUUUUCUCUCUCUUAUUAAUUAUGGACGAAAAUUUGAAAUUAAUUUCUAAAAAAUUUUUAACCAAUGAGAAUUGAAAAACUAAGAUUUGAUAUCCAACUAAAAUUUUAUAUAAACCAAUCCUAAUAGACUAUUCUAUAUCAAAAAAAAGAAAUUAGUAUCAUUUUAAUUCAAAAUACUAUGCCUUAAAAGAUUUAUCAAUGGAGGAUUUUAAUAUUGAAUUUGAAAUUUCAUAAGAAAAUCAAAUACAAAUUUAAAGAUUUAGUUUUGUUAUAAUAUUUUCAUAAAUUUUGAAAUAUAAAACAAAAUUUUAUUUCACAAUUUCUGAAAAACGAUAUUAGAUAUUAACAAAUAUUUAUAUUUACUAUGAAAUAAACUCAAAUAAUAAUAAAUUUAAAAUAAGUAUCAUCAUGGCCUUCGUUUAGAGCAAGUUUCGGAAAUAUCUAAACAAUACAUUGUACAUAUUAAUUUCCAAAUUAUUUUGCGUUUUUUUUUCAACCGAAUCUUCCUUAAAUAAAUCCCUAAAAUAUUGCACGAAAUAAUGUAAACUAAAUAUAUAUUUUGUAUUCAAAACAAAUUAUGCAGCAAUAGCAUAUCCCUUUUAGAGAUGUAUCUCAAAUUUUUAUUUUUAGUCCAAAAAUCAAAUUAAUUAUGAUUAAACAAUGAAAAGAAUAAUAUGCAUAAUUUAGCUAAGGAAAGAAACAUUAAUAAAAAUUUUAAAAUAUAUUUGUUAUUUUAACAACAUAUAUAUUAAUCUGCAAAACUCACAGUAUGUAUUGUAUGGUAUUUAAAGGUAAGCAAACAAGAAUUUGGUUUAUGAAUUUAAUGGAAUGAAAUGAAAAUAGGAAUUACGAGACGGGACGAGAUGAGAACAUAAAUUAAAAAUCAAACUAAAUAUCCAACUGGUAUGUGUUCGGCUUAUGAGCACUAUAUAAAAUAAAUUUUUUUACACACAUAAUUCUGUACGUACGUUUUCAUUUACACAUAUUCUAUUUAUGCCGGAUACGGGACCGUCAUAUAUUUAUUUCACGUAUACGAAACGGGUUAUGGAACGAAGAAUUUAUGACAGAUACAGGACGGGAUAGGUUUCCCGUUCCAAUAUAGUUAUGCCUAGCUAAUAUAUAUGAAAUAACCAAACUAAAACCGAAUCCAUAUCCUAUAUAACACAUGUAAUCAAACUGUUAGAAAUGUUUUGAUUAGUUUAGAAAAUAAAAACUGUAACAUCAUUUAACUUUUGCAACUAAAUUAUAUCUUAAUUAUUUCUUAAAUAUAAUUUCACACGUACGUGUAGGUCCGAAUCUUAAAAUAUAACUAUGCACUAACGCAACUGAAUUUCGUUCAUUACUCUAACUAUAUAAUAUUUAUACUAUUAUGAAGUUCACUAACACAACAAAAUAUUUUAUAUUUUUAAAAUCUAUAUAAAAAUUUAUAUAUAUAAAGAUAUCUCUGCACAUACGUGUGAAUUCAGAUCUAAUACACUAAAAUAUAUAUCAUAGAAACAACAAAUAAUCUAUAUUGAAUUAAAAUUUGUUAGAAAAUUUUUUAAAAUAUGAAACUCCGCACAUAUGUGCGGGUCAGGAUCUAGUAAAUUUUAAGAUAGAAGUUCAUGAACUGUCACAUUUUAUUUAUUUAUUAUAAUUACAAUAAUGUAAGCAUAUUUAACAUAUGAAUAGUAAAACAAAAAACAAAAUUCUAUUGACCACAAAAUAAAAGGUAAAGGGAAUAGUAAGUAAGAUACAAAUUUCAUAAUCACAAUACAAUUUUAAUUUCCUUAAGAAUAUAAGAAGUAGUAGAUUAUUAUCAUAAUUUUAAUUUCAUAAUCACAAUACACAUAUAAGAAGUAGAGAUUAUUUGUUUUUUUUAGGAAUUUCGAUUCUUUGUAUAUCCAAAAGUUUUAGAUCGAGUACAAAAUUUCAGAUACGCUAUAGAUUUUGACACAGUUUAGAGACAAAAAUCUAUAUCUUUUCAUAUACACAAAUCAUAUAUGCUCCUAAAUUUAUCUAAUAAACAAUGUGUAUUUAUAUUUAUCUUAUCUAAAUCACUGAAUAAAACAAAAAUAUAUGAUUAAUCGCACUUAUCAGUGAAGGAGAUUAUAGUGGAGAUUUUUCUUCGGAACUUCUAAUAUGGUGGAUGAAAUAUGAGGUGAUGCAUUGAUAUAUAUAUAUAUAUAGAAAAAGUUUAGUUUUUCUUUUCAUUAUAUGAAAAAUCACGACUAUAUAUACAUAUCGAUCCUCUUAUGUAGACUUUUUUUUUCUUUCAAAAUAUGAAAACAAAAACGAAGUCGUUUUCAAUAUACAAGCAUAAACGAAGUCGUUUUGUUUUAAUGAAAAGAAAAAGCCCUAGUUUUUCUCUCUAUAUAUAAAAAUGCAUUCACCUCAUCUUUCAUCUAUAUUACAAGUUGUGAAGAUAAUCUCAAUAAUAAUCUCUUUCAUUCGUAAGUGCAAAUAAUCAUAUGUUUUUUUAAUACAGUGAUUUAGAUAAGAUAUAUAUAACUACAGAUUGUUUAUUAGAUAAAUUUAGGAGCAUAUAUGAGUUGUGUUUCUAAAAAGAUUUUAAUUUUUGUCUCCAAAUUUUAUCAAAAUAUAUAGCAUAUCUAAAAUUUUGUACUUGAUCUAAAAUUUUUGGAUAUACAAAGCAUCGAAACUAGUUAAAUAAUUUUUUCGACUUCUAAUUUGUGUAUAAUUAAAUUUUUAAGAAAUUCAAUUUUAAUGUGAUUGCAAAAUUUGAUGUCUUAUGUAAUUUGUUUGUCAUUUUCUAUGUUUUGCAGUUUUUUUCAAGAAAACGAGGCAAAUCAAGAUGAAUCCAAUCCCCUGCAGAUUUUGCAGAUUACAAAAUAAACAAUGCGUCAAUGACUGUAUGUUUUCUCCACUGUUUCCUUCAAAUAAUUUACGCAAGUUUACUAUCAUGAACUUCGUCUUUGGACACAAAACUUUGACAUUCUUCCUCAAAGACCUUUCACCUAUGGACCGCAAAUACACUACCCGCACACUCUACUUUGAGGCAAAAUCAUGGUUUUUCGGCCCAUCCAAGGACCCCUCAGAUUUCCUCAAUGCGGUUAUAAAUUAUGCCAACCAAACACUUGCAGAGUUGUCCAAAACUAAGAAAUUGCUCGCAUCUUACUCGAGACCAACAGUAGUAUUGGCUCUUCCUGCACCAAGAUUUCUUCGGUCGAAGACUAAAUCAUCUGAUGGUCAUCGUUGAAGACUUUUUUUUUCUAAAAGUGAAUCGUUUGAACCAAAUAUGUUUUUAAUGUAAUUUCAAAAAAUAAAAUAUGCUUUUAAUUCUAUGUAUUUUGCUUUCUUUUUCUUAAUGAAUUAUCUUUCUUCUGAAUUAUU
rnacentral:lncRNA from 1 species